CCCACCUCCCACUCCACCCCACAGAACCAGCAGGGAACCCACGAGAGUGACACAGCCAGAGGACAAAGGCUCUGCAGCCAUCGUCAAUGCGUCAGAAUGAGCUUAAGGUCCACACAGACAAGGAGCAGGCGAAGAGGGCAACGCUGAGAAACGGUCAGAGGCCCGGGGAGGUCGGGAGACAGGAGGACCACAGGUGGCCCAGGAGUGGCUCCUGGAGCACAAAAGGGACCUCAGCCCCAAAAGGGUGAAAUCUGGCUAGAGCUCGUAGUUCAGUUAAUCGCAUUGGCCCAAGCCUUGAACCUUUGGCUUGGUGACAGCUCGUGAUGAAAUCACCAGCCGUUUUAAGGUCAUGAAAUCCAGCUAAAGACGAGAGUGGGAGGAGUCACGUGAAGGCUCCCCCAGGGAAGAGGAAAAUUUUCCAGCCCUUGAAGCAGACAAACCUGUGGCAUAAAUAGAGACAGAGAGAGAUUGGGACAACGGGACACGUAACUUCAGGAGAAGCUGCGAAGAGUCAACACGAAGGACAGAAGUUGCCAUGAGAAGAAGUAAAAAGCCUGGAUAGACCGAUGGCCUAAAAGCUAUUAAAAUGUGAGCAAAGGCAUACGGCCCUGGCUGUGACCUAUGUGUCCCACCCCCCAGCUGACAUGUUGGAGUCCUAACCCCCAAUACGAUGGCAUCAGGACGCGGAGACUUUGGGGUGAUUAGGUCACAAGUGCGGGGCCCUCACAGUGGGAUUAGUGCCCUCGUAAAAGGGACCCCACACAGCUCCCUUGCCCUUUCCCCCAAGUGAGGACGCAGGGAGAUGCCUGCGACCCAGCAGAGGGCCCUCAGCGGACCGUGCCGGCCCCCUCAUCUCGGACUUCCAGCCCCCAGAACUGUGAGCGGUAAAAUCCUGCUGUCUGUGAGCACCUGGUUUGUGGGGCUGUGUAACAGCAGCCCCCAAAGAACUAAGACCCCCUCCAGAAGCAUCGGCCCCGGCUGGUUCUGUCACACUACAAGGAGGGGUGAUGCCGUCGGUACUCAGCCCCUCCAGAGAGC